GACGAACGCUGGCGGCGUGCCUAAUACAUGCAAGCCGAGCGCAGGAAACUGACGGAACUCCUCGGAGGGAAGGCAGUGGAAUGAGCGGCGGACGGGUGAGUAACACGUAAGGAACCUGCCUCAAGGAUUGGGAUAACUCCGAGAAAUCGGAGCUAAUACCGGAUAGUUCAACGGACCGCAUGGUCCGCUGAUGAAAGGCGCUUCGGCGUCACCUUGAGAUGGCCUUGCGGUGCAUUAGCUAGGUGGUGGGGUAACGGCCCACCAAGGCGACGAUACAUAGCCGACCUGGGGGGGUGAUCGGCCACACUGGGGCUGAGACACGGCGCAGACUCCUACGGGAGGCAGCAGUAGGGAAUCUUCCACAAUGGACGAAAGUCUGAUGGAGCAACGCCGCGUGAGUGAUGAAGGUUUUCGGAUCGUAAAACUCUGUUGUAAGGGAAGAACACGUACGAGAGGAAAUGCUCGUACCUUGACGGUACCUUACGAGAAAGCCACGGCUAACUACGUGCCAGCAGCCGCCGCGGUAA
rnacentral:rRNA from 1 species